rnacentral:rRNA from 1 species
AUUGAACGCUGGCGGCAGGCUUAACACAUGCAAGUCGAGCGGUAGAGGGGAGCUUGCUUCCCUUGAGAGCGGCGGACGGGUGAGUAAUGCCUAGGAAUCUGCCUGGUAGUGGGGGACAACGUUCGGAAACGGACGCUAAUACCGCAUACGUCCUACGGGAGAAAGUGGGGGAUCUUCGGACCUCACGCUAUCAGAUGAGCCUAGGUCGGAUUAGCUAGUUGGUAGGGUAAAGGCCUACCAAGGCGACGAUCCGUAACUGGUCUGAGAGGAUGCUCAGUCACACUGGAACUGAGACACGGUCCAGACGCCUACGGGAGGCAGCAGUGGGGAAUAUUGGACAAUGGGCGCAAGCCUGAUCCAGCCAUGCCGCGUGUGUGAAGAAGGUCUUCGGAUUGUAAAGCACUUUAAGUUGGGAGGAAGUUCAGUAAGUUAAUACCUUGUUGAAUUGACGUUACCGACAGAAUAAGCACCGGCUAACUCUGUGCCAGCCGCCGCAGUAAAAC